GCGACACUAGGCUACUCGAGGCAAUUUGGCGGCCUUGGAGAGGACUAGGGGAAGGAGGAGUAUAUGGGGUGGUAAGGGGAGAACCUAUGUGUCUGUCUGUCCGUGGACCCAGCAGUGCCUCUGUGUGUGCCUGGCGUGAUGGUGUGGGUGUGCGGCAGCAAUCUGGCGAUGGCGGCGGGAGGGGCGGCGAGGGCUGGCAGGGGCUGGGGCCUGGCGGCGUGGCGGCGCACCACGCCAGGCUUCAGGGGGCGGUGGACGACAACAGCUACAACACAGAAGGAAGCAAGGAGGCUUAUUAGUGACGCCAAGGGGAGCAGGAGCAGUGCGGAGCAUAAUAUAGUCUCCUCGCACGUCCCCGACGUCCCGCUGCCCUCUGGGAACGCUGCCGCCUACGUCCUGGAGACCGCUAAAGAAUGGCCCAACAGAACUGCGCUGGAGUGUUCGCUGACGGGCCGCAGCUACACGUACGGGCAGCUGGUGGACGCCGUGGCCAGGUGGGGCGGGCAGCUGCUGAGGCUGGGCCUGAGGCGGGGAGACACUCUGGCCGUGAUGAUGCUCAACUGCCCCGAGUACCCCGUGGUGGUGCUUGGGGCGCUCUCCGUCGGGGUGUCCUGCACGGGCAUUAAUCCGGUAUUUACUGCAGAGGAGGUGAGGCGGCAGCUGCAGGACAGUGGCGCCUCCCUGGUGGUGCAUGACAACCACACAGGCAAGGUGGUGGAGGCCGCGCUGGCCCUCCUGAAGAAGCCGCUGCUAAGGAUCCUAAACACAGACUCCUCGCCGCCCGCCGGAGUGGUCAGCCUGAGGGGCCUCCUGCAGGACUCAGCCGUGGCCUUCGCUGACCCCGUGGAGGUGAGCGGAAAGGAAGUGGCGCUGCUCCCGUACUCCAGCGGCACCACGGGUAAGCCCAAGGGUGUGCAGGUGUCCCACGGCGCCGUCAGUAGCAACGUUGCCAUGAACACCCACCCCAGCUUCUUCCCGCCGGCAGCCAGGGCAGAGUCCCAGCAUGAGACGUUCCUGUGCUUCCUGACGCUCUACCACGUGUACGGCCUCUUGCCCAUCAUGUCCUUGGGGCUGCGGAAAGGCGUCAAGAUUGUCACUGUGCCCAAGUUAGAGCUCGACGCCCUCGUGCCCCUGAUCAUGAAGCACAAGGUAAGCUUUCUGCACACUGUCCCUCCGGUUCUGAACUUCCUGGUGCAGUCUCCGGCUGUCACCCCCGAGUCCAUGGCGUCUGUCUGGUACGCACUGUGCGGGGCUGCUCCAGUGUCCCAGACGGCGGCGCGGGCACUGAAGGAAAAGGUGGACAAGCCGUUGAUCUUCCAGGAAGCAUAUGGGAUGACAGAGGCUCUCCUCACCCACAUCACCCCACUCAGCUCCACCGAUCUGUCCCUCAAGACCUUGGCCAACGUGAAGGUGAAGGUGGUUGACAUGGACACUCAGGAAGCUCUGCCAGCCAACCAGGAGGGAGAGAUUUGCUUCCUGACGCCCUCGAGGAUGAACGGUUACAUCAACAACGAGGCCGCCAUACGUGACACCAUAGACGAGGAGGGUUGGGUGCACUCCGGCGAUAUUGGACUGUAUGACGAAGACGGGGGCUUCAGGAUCGUGGACAGGGCCAAGGACCUCAUCAAGGUGAAGGGGAUGCAGGUAAGAAAGGCAGAAUUAGGGUACUACUGCUUGCUCCUCCCCCUCCUCCUCCUAAUCCUCCCCCUCUUUUUUCUCCAUGUACUUAUCCUCCAGGUGGCGCCCGCUGAGUUGGAGAAGGAGCUCUUGCAGCAUCCCAAGGUCAGGGAGGUGGGCGUAGUGGGGAUCCCGCACGACAGUCUGGGAGAGGCACCGCGCGCCUUCGUCGUCACUUCGAGUCCGGCCACAGAGAAGGAGAUACAAGAGUUCCUGGCGACACGCUUGGCCCUCCACAAGCAGCUGGCGGGCGGCGUGGUGUUCAUCUCGGAGCUGCCCAAAAACCCCACAGGCAAGAUCCUGCGGCGCCAGCUGAGGCAGCUCGGCUGAGACAUUUCGUCAAGAGGGUCGCCGCCGGCGAGGUGACUGCCGCAGCCUCAGAGAUCGUUUCGGGUACAGCAUCUUCGCUGCUGCGGCGACCAGGGGCCUUCAGGGCAUUGAUAAUGGGAUAUAGUGACCAGCACGAUGGAAGAUGGAGUAGUACUUCAAAACAAGUUGUGCUUGUGUGCGUGAUGCGAACAUUACAUAGUAACUAUAUGGGAAGUAGUGGAUCGACCCGGUGAACAGCAACACUGGUGCUGCAGGGCUAUCUACGCCUUGUGAGGAUCCUGAGACAAGAUGGUUAUAAGUUUCUAUUUUAAGGACGCCUCACCAUCGUCCCUCCUUUAUCGUAUGUGAAAACCCUUUCCAUUAAUAUUUGUGUGUUCCCCAUCAUUCCACUGUUCUGUAUGGCAUUGACCUCAACAUUACUACUGACUUCUAUUUGUUGUACUCCAAAAUUUGUAGCAUUAGAAUCCCUGCGUGUGGCAUUAACCUUCAUAUAACCCUUAGCAUUAACUUGUAUGCGUUGUACUCCACAGUGUGUACUAUUGUCAGCACCUAACUAAUGAUCCCUAUGUUGUAUUUUCUCGUAUCUCCUAUUUUUCAAGUAUGUGUUUUACCUUUCUAAUUAGUGUCUUACCUGUGCUAGUGUUGUUUUUUUGUGUGUCGCCUGGUUAUUGGCGAUAAUCGUUUGAUAUACCUGUGUUGUGUUCUACCUAGCAUUGUUUAUUUAUUAGCUUAUGGAUUUAGUUAGUUAUGAAUUGUGUAUUUGACUAACCAAAAUAUAUAUUUUUGAGUUUGGUGA